rnacentral:rRNA from 1 species
UAGGGAAUCUUCGGCAAUGGGGGGAACCCUGACCGAGCAACGCCGCGUGAGUGAAGAAGGUUCUCGGAUCGUAAAGCUCUGUUGUUAAGGAAGAACGAGUGUGAGAAUGGAAAGUUCAUGCUGUGACGGUACUUAACCAGAAAGGGACGGCUAACUACGUGCCAGCAGCCGCGGUAAUACGUAGGUUCCGAGCGUUGUCCGGAUUUAUUGGGCGUAAAGCGAGCGCAGGCGGUUAGAAAAGUCUGAAGUGAAAGGCAGUGGCUCAACCAUUGUAGGCUUUGGAAACUGUUUAACUUAAGUGCAGAAGGGGAGGGUGGAAUUCCAUGUGUAGCGGUGAAAUGCGUGGAUAUAUGGAGGAACGCCGGUGGCGAAGGCGGCUCUCUGGUCAGUAACUGACGCUGAGGCACAAAGGCGUGGGGGGCGAACAGG